CAUGGAAAAUGUUGAAUGUUAACCAACGAAUAAAAGGUCAACAAAUUGCAUGUGUUGCCAUAUUCAAACAUAAGUGGAUGGUGUGCGUGAGUUUUGACAAUUGAACGUCGCUACUCUCACAUUCUGAUUUAUACAAUGUGAUGUGAAUCGGCAUAUGUCAACACAAAACGCCGCGAAUCACAAUUCAAUCAAUCGUUUCGUUGUUUAUUGUUUAAGUUUAAUAAAAAAAACAUACAUAGAAUAUCAUUAUAGUAAAAUGGAUGAUCAAGUGUGCCCAAAAUGUAAAACCUCCAAAUAUCGAGACCCAUCGCUAAAAUUGAUGGUUAAAGUUUGCGGUCACUCAUUAUGCGAAAGUUGCGUUGAAUUACUCUUUGUUGAAGGUUCUGGAUCAUGUUCCGAAUGCGAUGUUCCGUUGCGUCGAAAUAAUUUCCGUGUUCAGAUGUUUGAAAAAUCCCAUGGUCGAAAAAGAAGUGGACAUUCGACGACGCAUUCUAACGGACUACAACAAAAAAGAAGAAGAUUUUGCAACGACUCGCGAGUACGACGAUUACUUACAAUUUAUGCAACAACAUCGAUAUCAUCAACACAAACAAGCGCAUCGAACAGUACAAGCGGGAAAAUCGUGAAGUGAUCAAUAAGAAUAAAACAUUGGAUGGUGAACUAAAUGAACCCGGGCUUUCCACCCGGUACAGUGUUUCGGACGUUCAGUCGGAUCAGGUGGUCGCACAGUCGGCCAAUAAUGCUCUUCUACGCUCUUGUGUGAUCCCAUCUCGAAUUUGCUUCUCAAGUAGGGUCUCCAUUCAGUCAAAAAUACAUCGAUGCAAUCGAAAUUACACAGAAGCAAUUUGUGAAAUUCAUUCAACCCAACAUAACAAUUUAUGGGAAUUUUUCGUCUGAAUUUCUUUGCCAGCUGACUAACCACAACAUUGAAGUGACUGGGAAGACAUUAGACGAGGAGGACCGUUGUUACCAUACAAUUGGACUCCAAAUUGAAGGAAAUUCUUGCGAAACAUGUGCCAAUAAUCUCUACUGUGAUACCGAACUGCUUUAAGCUGAUCAAGUGCAAAUUCAAUCCUAGGGAUACCAUCAUUUAACUAUUUAUUUAUUUAAAGUAAAAAAAAAUAAUCCUGAGCUGACUAAAGUUGUUUAAUGCAACUUAACGUACUAAAUUUAUUUAUUCGAUUCGAUUAAUUUAACUCAAUUUGUGAUCUUUCUAAUUAUCUAUUUGUUUAUUUAUUUAUUCAUUUAGCUACUGUUUCAUUAUUGAACUUCCUAAACCUAAAUUUAAUACUAAAAAAAUUGGAAAAAUUAAAUUAAAGUAAAAGUAAAAUUAAAAUUCCAAUUACAACUACAAUUAUGUAAAGAAAACUGAUUUUAUACAACUGUAUUCUGAAGUCAGCUUAUCAAAGUAGACUAUAAAAUCAAUAAAAUAAUAAAUACGUUCGCAAUAUGAACUAUUUAAAAGGCCGCUUUAGUAGCGUUCAUAUGCCGCUUGAAUCGCUACCAUCGCCGCAAACAAAUUCAUUA